ACAGACUACAAGAUUCAGCAUAAAAUACAUGAACCCUUCCGCGACCUAACUAUUUGAUUCCUGUGUUUUAGCUAUUUAAGACAUAUAUAUACUGGGCAUACAUCUCUAUAUAUCGGAUAAAAGCUGUUCGUCCUUGCAAAUAUUUGUCUUACACAACACAAGCGACCGAAGCGAUGCGUUUCCCAAUGAUAAGGUUUACCCACAUACUUACACGACUCUCUCUACUGUCUCGUCUCUUUCUUUCCUCAUCCUUCUCCUUUGUCUCCUUCCUCUCUAUUCUUCACUUUUUCAGAAUUUCUUUUUUACGUAAAUAUUAUGGACAUGUCGUUUUCACCACCCUUGUCUACUCUUUUUUUGUUCUUUUUGUUUCCUC
rnacentral:lncRNA from 1 species